AUUGAACGCUGGCGGCAGGCCUAACACAUGCAAGUCGAGCGGAUGAAGGGAGCUGGCUCCUGGAUUCAGCGGCGGACGGGUGAGUAAUGCCUAGGAAUCUGCCUGUUAGUGGGGGAUAACGUCCGGAAACGGGCGCUAAUACCGCAUACGCUCUGAGGGCGAAAGAGUGGGAGCUUCGGACCUUACGCUAUCAGAUGAGCCUAGGUCGGAUUAGCUAGUUGGUGGGGUAAAGGCCUACCAAGGCGACGAUCCGUAGCUGGUCUGAGAGGAUGAUCAGUCACACUGGAACUGAGACACGGUCCAGACUCCUACGGGAGGCAGCAGUGGGGAAUAUUGGACAAUGGGCGAAAGCCUGAUCCAGCCAUGCCGCGUGUGUGAAGAAGGUCUUCGGAUUGUAAAGCACUUUAGGUUGGGAAGAAGAGCAGUAAGUUAAUACCUUGCUGUUUUGACGUUACCAACAGAAUAAGCACCGGCUAACUUCGUG
rnacentral:rRNA from 1 species